ACUGGAAUCCGAUUUUAUUUCCAUUAUACUUCUUUCCAUUUUAUUUAGUUAGUAGAACUUUCUAACUAUAUAUUACUCUUAUACAAAUUCUCUUGUUUCUCUUGUUUUCAUCCAGGAUUUUCUCUAAGAAUUCAUUUUGAUCGAACCGUCUAGUUUGCUUUGUUUAUUGGUUUAUUGUAGGGCAUAUCUCAUUGCAAGAUCCAUCGACUGGAAUCCGAUUUUAUUUCCAUUAUACUUAUUUCCAUUUUAUUUAGUUAGUAGAACUUUCUAACUAUAUAUUACUCUUAUACAAAUUCUCUUGUUUCUCUUGUUUUCAUCCAGGAGUUUCUCUAAAGACGGGGAAUUCUAAAUUAA
rnacentral:lncRNA from 1 species